rnacentral:rRNA from 1 species
AACGCUGGCGGCGCGCCUAACACAUGCAAGUCGAACGAGCGAGAGAGAGUUUACUUUUUCGAGCGAGUGGCGAACGGGUGAGUAACGCGUGAGGAACCUGCCUCAAAGAGGGGGACAACAGUUGGAAACGACUGCUAAUACCGCAUAAGCCCACAGCUCGGCAUCGAGCAGAGGGAAAAGGAGCAAUCCGCUUUGAGAUGGCCUCGCGUCCGAUUAGCUAGUUGGUGAGGUAAUGGCCCACCAAGGCGACGAUCGGUAGCCGAGCUGAGAGGCUGAUCGGCCACACUGGAACUGAGACACGGUCCAGACUCCUACGGGAGGCAGCAGUAGGGAAUAUUGGGCAAUGGGCGCAAGCCUGACCCAGCAACGCCGCGUGAGGGAAGUAAGGUUUUCGGAUUGUAAACCUCUGUCCUAUGUGACGAAGGAAGUGACGGUAGCAUAGGAGGAAGCCCCGGCUAACUACGUG